AACGUACGCUGGCGGCACGCCUAACACAUGCAAGUCGAACGAAGUAGCAAUACUUAGUGGCAGACGGGUGAGUAACAUGUAGGUAUCUGCCCUUUGGCCUGGAAUAACACGAGGAAACUUGUGCUAAUACCGGAUAAGUCUUUACGGAGAAAGCUUUAUGCACCACUGGAUGAGCCUGCACUUGAUUAGUUUGUUGGUGGGGUAAUGGCCUACCAAGACUGUGAUCAAUAGCUGAUUUGAGAGGAUGAUCAGCCACAUUGGGACUGAGACACGGCCCAAACUCCUACGGGAGGCAGCAGUGGGGAAUCUUGCACAAUGGAGGAAACUCUGAUGCAGCGAUGCCGCGUGAGUGAAGAAGGCCCUUGGGUUGUAAAGCUCUUUCGUCGGGGAAGAAAAUGACUGUACCCGAAUAAGAAGGUCCGGCUAACUUCGUGCCAGCAGCCGCGGUAAUACGAAGGGACCUAGCGUAGUUCGGAAUUACUGGGCUUAAAGAGUUCGUAGGUGGUUGAAAAAGUUAGUGGUGAAAUCCCAGAGCUUAACUCUGGAACUGCCAUUAAAACUUUUCAGCUAGAGUAUGAUAGAGGAAAGCAGAAUUUCUAGUGUAGAGGUGAAAUUCGUAGAUAUUAGAAAGAAUACCAAUUGCGAAGGCAGCUUUCUGGAUCAUUACUGACACUGAGGAACGAAAGCAUGGGUAGCGAAGAGGAUUAGAUACCCUCGUAGUCCUUGCCGUAAACGAUGUGUGUUAGACGUUGGAAAUUUAUUUUCAGUGUCGCAGGGAAACCGAUAAACACACCGCCUGGGGGAGUACGACCGCAAGGUUAAAACUCAAAUGAAUUGACGGGGACCCGCACAAGUAGUGGAACCAUGUGGUUUAAUUCGAAGAUACGCGCAGAACCUUACCAACACUUGACAUGUUCGUCGCGACUCUAAGAGAUUAGAGUUUUCGGUUUGGCCGGACGAAACACAGGUGCUGCAUGGCUGUCGUCAGCU
rnacentral:rRNA from 1 species